rnacentral:rRNA from 1 species
AAUGAACGCUGGCGGCAUGCCUUACACAUGCAAGUCGAGCGGCCACACGACCUACUUUGUCCUCUUGAUUUCGCGUCGCGCACGUGAGUGUCAUGUAUCUGACCUUCCUAUUUGACUGGGGUUACCGUAGCGAAACUUAGCUUAUUACCGCUUAUUUUCUGAGGCGGAUAGUUCGGUACCUUCGGGCCUUUUUCUUGUAGCUUAUAGAUUGUUGCGUGCCGCAUUAGCUAGUUGGUAAGGUAACGGAUUACCAAGGCAACGAUGCGUAGGAGAGCUGAGAGGGUGAUCGGCCACACUGGAACUGAGACACGGUCCAGACUCCUACGGGAGGCAGCAGUAGGGAAUCUUCCACAAUGGGCGAAAGCCUGACCCAGCAAUGCCGCGUGAGUGAAGAAGGCCUUCGGAUUGUAAAACUCUUUUAUCAGGGAAGAAAAAAUACCCACUAAAACAUGCACUUCAUGACGGUACCAAAACAAAAAGCACCGGCUAACUACGUG